rnacentral:rRNA from 1 species
GAUGAACGCUGACAGAAUGCUUAACACAUGCAAGUCUACUUGAACUUCGGUUUGGGUGGCGGACGGGUGAGUAACGCGUAAAGAACUUGCCUCACAGUUAGGGACAACAUUUGGAAACGAAUGCUAAUACCUGAUAUUAUGAUUUUAGGGCAUCCUAAAAUUAUGAAAGCUAUAUGCGCUGUGAGAGAGCUUUGCGUCCCAUUAGCUAGUUGGAGAGGUAACGGCUCACCAAGGCGAUGAUGGGUAGCCGGCCUGAGAGGGUGAACGGCCACAAGGGGGCUGAGACACGGCCCUUACUCCUACGGGAGGCAGCAGUGGGGAAUAUUGGACAAUGGACCAAAAGUCUGAUCCAGCAAUUCUGUGUGCACGAUGACGUUUUUCGGAAUGUAAAGUGCUUUCAGUUGGGAAGAAAAAAAUGACGGUACCAACAGAAGAAGUGACGGCUAAAUACGUG